UACGGAGGGUGCAAGCGUUAUCCGGAUUCACUGGGUUUAAAGGGUGCGUAGGUGGGCAAGUAAGUCAGUGGUGAAAUCCCCGGGCUCAACCCGGGAACUGCGUCCGAGACUGGCAGGCUCGAAUCCGGGAGAGGGAUGUGGAAUUCCAGGUGUAGCGGUGAAAUGCGUAGAUAUCUGGAGGAACACCGGUGGCGAAGGCGGCAUCCUGGACCGGUAUUGACGCUGAGGCACGAAAGCGUGGGGAUCGAACAGG
rnacentral:rRNA from 1 species